rnacentral:rRNA from 1 species
GAUGAACGCUGGCGGCGUGCCUAAUACAUGCAAGUCGAGCGGACAGACGAGGAGCUUGCUGGUCAGGCGAGUAAGGCGGAAGGGACUGUCACACGUGGAAAAGCCAACUAUAGGAAAGGAAUAACAUUAGGAGAUAGGAGCUUAUAACGGCUAAUAUAUUGAACCGAAUGGUUAAAUACUGUAAGACGGUUUUGCUGUCACUUAUCGAGGGAUACGCGCCGCAUUAGCUAGUGGGUAAGAUAGGGGCUUACCAAGGGAACGUUGCGUAGCCGAACUGAGAGGAUGGUCGGCCACACUGGAACUGUGACCCGCUCCAAAGUCCUUCGGGAGCCAGCAUUAGGGAAUCGUCCGCCAUGGGCGAAAGCUUUACGAAGCAGCGCCGCGUGAGUGAUGAAGGUCUUCUGUUCGUAAAACUCUGUUAUUAGGGAAGUACAGAUGUGUAAGUAACUAUGCACGUCUUGACGGUACCAACUCAGAAAGCCACGGCUAACUACGUG